AUACGGAGGAUGCAAGCGUUAUCCGGAUUUAUUGGGUUUAAAGGGUGCGUAGGCGGUUUGCUAAGCGGGAGGUGAAAUGCCGGCGCUCAACGUCGGAAGUGCCUCCCGAACUGGUGGACUUGAAUGACUCUGCCGUGGGAGGAAUGUGUAGUGUAGCGGUGAAAUGCUUAGAGAUUACACAGAACACCGAUUGCGAAGGCAUCUCACGAAGUGUUGAUUGGCGCUGAGGCACGAAAGCGUGGGGAUCAAACAGGAUUAGAUUCCCUGGUAGUCCACGCAGUAAACGAUGAUGGCUAACCGCUGGUUUAUUCGGAUCAGUGGCCAAGCGAAAGCGAUAAGCCAUCCACCUGGGGAGUACGACCGCAAGGUUGAAACUCAAAGGAAUUGACGGGG
rnacentral:rRNA from 1 species